UUCUGGAGUCUUGUCUGUAUUCUUAAAGAAAGUGUGCAAGGAAGUUUGGACAGAUGUUCUCCAGGGAGAUAAGCAAUGCAGUGAAUUUGUUCACUAGUUUGGCAUUGCAUCAGAUCAAGCAUUGUAAAGUUGAAUCUGACAUCAUAAAGUUGAAACAGGUUGUCAAUUUAUAAACGUUGUAAGUGCGAAAUGUUGUAACACAAAGCGUUGUAAGUCGAGGAAUGCCUGUACUGUACUGUGUCCAGUUU